GGGACAAGAGGAGAAAACAAGUUCCCACCAGGAAACCCCAGGGAAACUGCUUGAAUUUGUUAUUAAGUCCACAAGCAAUUUGUUGGGUAAAUAAACCUAAAGAAGCUCACACCUGCUCACCGGGGCCUGGACUUCGGCAUUUUUCAGUGCUGGAGGGACUGAUAAGAGACUGAGCAAGGGUAUGAAACCAGAUCCUGUCAUUGGAGCUGUGGCCCUCUCACUGUGUUCCUAGAAGUCUCAGCAACAGAGGUGACUGAUAGAGAAUAAUAAAGUGCCGCUCUUUUCCACUACUCCGUGAGAAGGCCAUGGACAGCCUUGACUUAGAGAAAACAUCUGUGAUGUGGUGGGGCAGGUGCCUGAUGAACAACCCCUCCCCACUCUCUUGAUGGUGCAUUUCAGUGAAAGCUGGUUUGAGACAGUCUGUAUAGACUGCUUCACUUGCACAGAGGAACAAGGAAGGGAAAAAAGCCAACAAAGAAGAGGAUCAAUUGCUUGGAAGAGAGAAAGAUAACUGAGAGCUUUGGAUCUCCAUUGGCUUGAUGAAUUACCACAAAUCCAGAAAGAACAAAAGCUCUGUGUGGUAUCAUUGCAUCUUGUAUGUAUUACAGCAGCGAAUCUGGGGUCCCUCAGGAUGUUUUAAACAGCUACGUCUGCAGAUCCUCAGAUGUAAUGUCCUGUCUCAGAAAUGUACCAUUUUUUGCAGCAUAAACUUCAAAUAUCUGUUAUAUGUUUGGCUUAGAGACAUUCCAAAGCACUUCUAUUUUUAGUUUCAACUGUU